rnacentral:pre_miRNA from 1 species
AGUAGAUUAUUGGGUCAUAUGAUAACUUUACUUUUUAACUCUUUGAGGAACUUCCAGACCAUUUUCCAAAGUGACUACACCAUUUUAAUUCCCAUUAGCAGG